CACAUGCAAGUCGAACGGGAAACCUUUUAUUGAAGCUUCGGCAGAUUUAGAUUGUUUCUAGUGGCGGACGGGUGAGUAACGCGUGGGUAACCUGCCUUAUACAGGGGGAUAACAGUCAGAAAUGACUGCUAAUACCGCAUAAGCGCACAGGACCGCAUGGUCCGGUGUGAAAAACUCCGGUGGUAUAAGAUGGACCCGCGUUGGAUUAGCUGGUUGGUGAGGUAACGGCCCACCAAGGCGACGAUCCAUAGCCGGCCUGAGAGGGUGAACGGCCACAUUGGGACUGAGACACGGCCCAGACUCCUACGGGAGGCAGCAGUGGGGAAUAUUGCACAAUGGGGGAAACCCUGAUGCAGCGACGCCGCGUGAAGGAAGAAGUAUCUCGGUAUGUAAACUUCUAUCAGCAGGGAAGAAUUAGGACGGUACCUGACUAAGAAGCCCCGGCUAACUACGUGCCAGCAGCCGCGGUAAUACGUAGGGGGCAAGCGUUAUCCGGAUUUACUGGGUGUAAAGGGAGCGUAGACGGAUGGACAAGUCUGAUGUGAAAGGCUGGGGCUCAACCCCGGGGCUGCAUUGGAAACUGCCCGUCUUGAGUGCCGGAGAGGUAAGCGGAAUUCCUAGUGUAGCGGUGAAAUGCGUAGAUAUUAGGAGGAACACCAGUGGCGAAGGCGGCUUACUGGACGG
rnacentral:rRNA from 1 species